rnacentral:lncRNA from 1 species
AGCGUUACCGCCCCGCCACCGGCACCACCAGCACCCGGGCAGCGUCGGGGGCCGCGGGGAGCGGCGGACUCACGUCGCUCUCCACCUCGAUGUCGUCGUUGUCGCUCAUCGCUGCCGGCCGGGGAGCCGCGGGCCGCGCCGCCACAACAACAGCGCGCAGCGCGCCUGCGCCGCGCGGCCCCGCCCGCCCGCCUCAGCGCGCGGGGCCUUGUGGGGCGGGGAGUCCGCAGGGGGAGAGCGGGGAGGGGAAAGGGAGGGGCGGGGCUGUAUCGGGGACUACAAUUCCCAGAAGGCAGCGCGGCGCAUCGCGCGUUGCCCGCUGGGAGUUGUAGUCCCCCAGCCUGUAUGCGGGAGGCCCGCCCGCUGCCUCAGGGAGGGCGGCGGGGGCGGCUCUGUGGGGCCGGGGGGCGGCGUCUCGGGAAAGGGGAGGAAAAAGGGGGGAGUCCGAGGGGGUGGGGGAGGUGUGAGGGGGUUGGGGUUUCUGAGGGGAUUUGGGAUUUCUGAGGGGAUUUGGCGUUUCUGAGGGAGUUUGGGAUUUCUGUGGGGUUUUGGGUUUCUGAGGGGAUUUGGGAUUUUUGCAGGGUUUGGGACAUCUGGGGAUUUGGGAUGUCUCUGGAGAUUUGGGCUUUCCGCAGGGAUUUGGGAUUUCUGUGAGGUUU